GUAUGUCAGUUUGUGUGUGUGUGAUUUCUGGGAUAUUGCAUUAGACUUGAGAGUGUCAAGUCUAAUACAAUAUCCCAGAAAUCACACACACACAAACUG